rnacentral:rRNA from 1 species
UCUGGUGCUCCUACCGGUGAGGAAACACCCGUUCCCAUCUCGAACACGGCAGUUAAGCUCAUCCGGGCCGAUGAUACUUCAAUUGAGGGAAAGUAGGUCAGUGCCAGUU